GGUGGCUCAGUGGUAAGAGUUCUUGCCUUGCAUUCAGGAGGCCCUGGGUUCGAUUCCUCAGCACCA
rnacentral:tRNA from 1 species